AUCUGACCUGCUCUGCUCAGUGAAGACCUCCAGCUUCUCCUGUAUCUGACCUGCUCUGCUCAGUGAAGACCUCCAGCUUCUCCUGUAUCGGAACUGCUCCUCUCAGUGAAGACAUCUAGCUUCUGCUGUACCGGACCGGCUCUGCUCAGUGAAAAUAACCAGCUUCUGCUGUAUUGGACCUGCUCUGCUCCGUAAAGAUAACCAGCUUCUGCUGUAUUGGACCUGCUCUGCUCAGUAAAGACAUCCAGCUUCUCCUGUAGGAGAAGACCAGAUGUAGAGCGGGCGCCCCUGGAACCCAGGUAAGUUCUCAAACAAUUCUAAAACAAAUUGACAGCUUACUAUUAGAGGGUACCAAGACACUCCUUGCACUGAAUCCAUUAGAACAAGCAUGGUUAUGGUUCUUGGAGUGUCUCUUUAAAGCAGAUAUGUCACCAGGAGAAGAUAAUAAAUAUAAAUAAAGACAAAUUGUGAUAGGUAGCAUAAUUAAUAAUAUACAGGGCACAUAAGAAAUGAAAAAUUGGGGGAGAAAACAUGACAGGGAUGCUUUUAGAAUCCAUUCUGCUGUUGUCUGUCAAUGUGGCAUCUGUGAUCGACGACCUGACAUCAUUUUCACAUCAGAAUGGAGUCCAAAUGCCUGCAGAAUAUACUACAAGCUUAGUUUACCAAAUGUUAUAAUUUACCUAUUGCCUGAGCAGUAAAACCGUACACACAACUAUUCACUAAUGUGGGAAAGUCAAGAAGUCAUUGGGAAAUUGCAUCUUUUUUGGGCAAAUUAACUGAACUUUAGUAAUUGCCCAUGGUCUACAUUAUAAUUCAGCAUUAGUAAAUGAUGAUAAGGUUUUUUAGACUUUUGGCCGAAAAAACAGAGAUCAUUGAAAUUUUACAAUCCGUUUUUGGAACCUUAAAAAACCAGGCUUAAACCAUUUUGGCAGAACGAAGUUGUUACAGAGUCAGGAGGUCCCUGAUGCCAGCUUACUUUAAGGGGUUAAGGCAUUAACAAACAACCCCAGAGGCUUCUGUUCAGAGCCGUUCAGCUCUGCUCCUUCUAUAAAGCAACUUGAGAAAUUGUUAUGGUGCCUGGAGUAAUCCUUUAACCUCGCUAUGUCUCGCUCAAGAGAUCGAUA